GAACUCUAUAUCUAUGAAGGCAGGAACAUAUAUACAUAAAGUGUGAAGAUUUCCUUUUUUAUUUGGCCAAACUGAAAUAUAGCUGACAAAGCUUUGACAUUUUAUAUUUUCUUCUGUUGUUGUAGAUACUCUCCUUAUGAAAAUGUCUCUGUGUUAAAUAUUUCCUUUUUAAACCUGUAGAGGGAGGUCUAUGCAAACUCUUCCUUCCUUAUAAACAGAUAAUCAGUAACUGUCAUAGUUUGCAGCAGAACAACUGGGGAAACUCUAUACAUCUGAACAGAGAGAACUGAACCACAGAGUUUAUUACAGAAUGAAAAUUACAAUUGCCUGGAGUUUAUUGUUUGUAGUUACUAUUCAUGGUAAGAAAACCAAUUCUUUUACUUCUUUUUUAAAUGUCUAACAUGUGAUUUUUAAGUUUGAUGGAUGAUGAUGUUCACUUCUUUGCUUACAGGAGUUCAGAGUGAGAUCAAACUGGACCAGCCUCCCUCUGAGGUGAAAAGACCUGGAGAGACAGUGAAGAUGUCAUGUGUCAUAUCUGGAUUUGACAUGACAGACUACUAUAUUCACUGGAUAAGACAGAGACCAGGUAAAGCUCUGGAGUGGAUUGGGUGGAUGAACACAGGCAGAAACUCUGCUAUCUAUGCCAGCUCCUUUCAAAGUCGUUUCAUCAUGACUGAAAAUGUGCCCAGCAGCAAUCAGUACCUUGAGAUCAAUAGCCUGACAGCAGAAGAUUCUGCUGUUUACUUCUGUAUGAUGGACUAUAGGACAGGACUGCUGCUUUUAACUAUCUGCUGGGCAGGUAUUGAUGGUCAGACUCUGACAGAAUCUGAACCAGCAGUUAAAAAGCCUGGAGAAUCCCACAAACUGAUCUGUACAACAUCUGGAUUCACAUUCAGCAGCUAUCUUAUGGCCUGGAUCAGACAGGCUCCUGGAAAAGGACUGGAGUGGAUUGCCACUAUUAAUGUUACUAGCAUUUACUACUCUGAAUCAGUCAAAGGCCGGUUCACCAUCUCCAGAGACAACAGCAGAGAGCAGCUGUAUCUGCAGAUGAACAGUCUGAAGACUGAAGAUUCUGCUGUUUAUUAUUGUGCUCGA